UACGAUUAUAUCAUGUGGAAACACCUGUACCCGUAUAUCACCGAAGUUAAGCAUCGUCGAGCCUUGUCAGUACCUAGAUGGGUGUCCGCUUGGGAAUAUCAUUUGCUGUAAG